rnacentral:rRNA from 1 species
GACGAACGCUGGCGGCGUGCUUAACACAUGCAAGUCGAACGGUGAAGCUCCAGCUUGCUGGAGUGGAUCAGUGGCGAACGGGUGAGUAACACGUGAGCAACCUGCCCCUGACUCUGGAAUAAGCGCUGGAAACGGCGUCUAAUACUGGAUACGAGAAGGGUCCGCAUGGGCACUUUCUGGAAAGUUUUUCGGUUGGGGAUGGGCUCGCGGCCUAUCAGCUUGUUGGUGAGGUAAUGGCUCACCAAGGCGACGAAGGGUAGCCGGCCUGAGAGGGCGACCGGCCACACUGGGACUGAGACACGGCCCAGACUCCUACGGGAGGCAGCAGUGGGGAAUAUUGCACAAUGGGCGAAAGCCUGAUGCAGCGACGCCGCGUGAGGGAUGACGGCCUUCGGGUUGUAAACCUCUUUCAGCAGGGAAGAAGCGAAAGUGACGGUACCUGCAGAAGAAGCACCGGCUAACUACGUG